GCCGGAGGUCCGUGGUGCGGUGCCCGCGGAGAAGGCGCGCGUGAUCACCAGUCUUCGGAUGCGGACAACGCCCAAGGCUGGC
rnacentral:SRP_RNA from 1 species